CCAGAACCUCCUCCCUGAGUCUGGGGAGAGGAGCGGCAUUUGGGCAAAUGCUGUCGGGCAGGGGCACCCCCCUAACCCCUGCACUGAGCAGUCUGGUUUUAGAACCUGUAAGCGAAUUGUGCUUUAUCCUGGGAGCCUGCCUGAAGCUCACCUAAACACCGGAUCAGGCUCCAGGGGUCAAAGGGAGGGGCCUAAAGGAGCCGCAUUCAGAUUCAGGCAUGCAGACCCUCUCAAGUUUCAGGGUCCAAAGAGAAGACUCCAGAGGAGCCCAGCAGACAGGCACUGCGGUAACUAUUGCUGAAAACAGCAGGACCCCUGCCAUCUCCAUCCGAAAGGAAACAUUUAAAUUCCUGUACCAAGUCCUUUCCGGUCUUUCCCCCCCAACCCUGUUUGGAAACUGUUCCCUAGGUCUGCCCGCCUUACAGUCCCUACUUCUUCCUUUGCUUGUUACCACAAUCAGACUGGCAACCCAAGCCCUAUCAAUUACCCGGAGAGCUUGGGAAACCACCCUUGCUGGGUACAUCACUAAAUUCCCAACGUGAUUAACCUGGCCCAGGUUUAAACAAAAUGUGUAGAGAGACCCCCGCCGCCAAUGCAGGCGAUACAAUAAAU
rnacentral:lncRNA from 1 species